GUUAAAUCAUUAUCAAAGUGAUGGAGAUGAGAGGGGAAAUCAUUAUCAAAGUGAUGGAGAUGGGAAGUUAAAUCAUUAUCAAAGUGUUGGAGAUGGGAGGUGAAAUCAUUAUCAAAUCAUUAUCAAAGUGAUGGAGAUGGGAGGUGAAAUCAUUAUCAAAGUGAUGGAGAUGGGAGGUGAAAUCAUUAUCAAAGUGAUGGAGAUGGGAGGUUAAAUCAUUAUCAAAGUGAUGGAGAUGAGAGGGGAAAUCAUUAUCAAAGUGAUGGAGAUGGGAAGUUAAAUCAUUAUCAAAGUGUUGGAGAUGGGAGGUGAAAUCAUUAUCAAAGUGAUGGAGAUGGGAGGUUAAAUCAUUAUCAAAGUGAUGGAGAUGAGAGGGGAAAUCAUUAUCAAAGUGAUGGAGAUGGGAGGUGAAAUCAUUAUCAAAGUGAUGGAGAUGGGAGGUGAAAUCAUUAUCAAAGUGAUGGAGAUGGGAGGUGAAAUCAUUAUCAAAGUGAUGGAGAUGAGAGGGGAAAUCAUUAUCAAAGUGAUGGAGAUGGGAGGUUAAAUCAUUAUCA
rnacentral:lncRNA from 1 species